rnacentral:rRNA from 1 species
UGAGGAAUAUUGGUCAAUGGGCGCGAGCCUGAACCAGCCAAGUAGCGUGAAGGAUGAAGGUCCUAUGGAUUGUAAACUUCUUUUAUAGCAGAAUAAAGUGACCCACGUGUGGGUUUUUGUAUGUAUGCUAUGAAUAAGGAUCGGCUAACUCCGUGCCAGCAGCCGCGGUAAUACGGAGGAUCCGAGCGUUAUCCGGAUUUAUUGGGUUUAAAGGGUGCGUAGGCGGAAAGAUAAGUCAGCCUGUGAAAGUUUGCGGCUCAACCGUAAAAUUGCAGUUGAUACUGUUUUUCUUGCGUGUACAUAAGGUAGGCGGAAUUCGUGGUGUAGCGGUGAAAUGCUUAGAUAUCACGAAGAACUCCGAUUGCGAAGGCAGCUUACCGGGGUACAACUGACGCUGAUGCACGAAAGUGUGGGUAUCAAACA